rnacentral:rRNA from 1 species
CCUACGGGAGGCAGCAGUAAGGAAUAUUGGUCAAUGGACGGAAGUCUGAACCAGCCAUGCCGCGUGCAGGAUGAAGGCCCUCUGGGUUGUAAACUGCUUUUAUCUGGGACGAAAAAAGGGGAUUCUUCCUCACUUGACGGUACCAGAGGAAUAAGCACCGGCUAACUCCGUGCCAGCAGCCGCGGUAAUACGGAGGGUGCAAGCGUUAUCCGGAUUUACUGGGUUUAAAGGGUGCGUAGGUGGGUAGGUAAGUCAGUGGUGAAAUCUUCAAGCUUAACUUGGAAACUGCCAUUGAUACUAUUUAUCUUGAAUUAUCUGGAGGUAAGCGGAAUAUGUCAUGUAGCGGUGAAAUGCUUAGAUAUGACAUAGAACACCCAUUGCGAAGGCAGCUUACUACGGAUAUAUUGACACUGAGGCACGAAAGCGUGGGGAUCAAACAGGAUUAGAUACCCUGGUAGUCCACGCCCUAAACGANAGAUACUACACAUCANCGANACACAGUAGUGU